AAUAGGCAAUUAUAUGGAUUAAUCUCAAAAGCAUUAUGCUGAGUAAAAAAGCCUUACACAGAAACAUAUGUGCACUAUGAUUCUAUUUAUAUGAAGUUCUAGAGUAGGUAAAACAAAACUAUGGUGAAAAGAAAUCCAAACAAUGAUUGCCUGGGAUUGGGGAGUAUAGGCAGGAAUUGACUGGAAAGGGACAAGAUGUAAUUUUCUGGAGUGAUGGUAGUGUUCUUUAUCUUGAUAAUUUAUUCAGAUACACAGGUACAGGCACUUGUCAAAACUAAUCAAAGAAACACUUAACAUGUAUGUUUAUUUCAAUAUACAUACGUCUUACAGAAAACAGCCAUAAAGAACUGUAAAUAAAUAUAGAAUCUUAGCUAAUUACAUGUAUGCUGAAGUAUUUAGAACGAUGUGCACUAGCAUUUGCAACUUACU
rnacentral:lncRNA from 10 species